rnacentral:rRNA from 1 species
GUGGGGAAUAUUGCGCAAUGGGGGAAACCCUGACGCAGCAACGCCGCGUGAAGGAAGAAGGUCUUCGGAUUGUAAACUUUUGUCUUCAGGGACGAUAAUGACGGUACCUGAGGAGGAAGCCACGACUAACUACGUGCCAGCAGUCGCGGUAAUACGUAGGUGGCAAGCGUUGUCCGGAUUUACUGGGUGUAAAGGGUGUGUAGGCGGGAUUGCAAGUCAGAUGUGAAAUGCCGCAGCUUAACUGCGGAGCUGCAUUUGAAACUGUAAUUCUUGAGUAGAGGAGAGGUAAGCGGAAUUCCCAGUGUAGCGGUGAAAUGCGUAGAUAUUGGGAGGAACACCAGUGGCGAAGGCGGCUUACUGGACUCUAACUGACGCUGAGGCACGAAAGCGUGGGGAGCAAACAGGA